UUUCCGUAACGAAAACAUAGAUGAGACUCCUUGUCCAUAUUGUGGUUGUGGUAUCAUUGUUGUCAAUUCUGAGUUCUUGCUAAAAUUAAAUAUUCUACUUUUAAAACUAUUAACAAAAACAAACAAACUAGAUCAUUCAAAAGAUGAUUUUAUUCAACUGUUACAUAUAGAUUAUCUCGGUAUGGAACUGUGUUUAAAACAUUAAGUCUAGUAACUACCUUUAUCUAAAUUCGGUAACGUAUGUUUCAGAACUACAUAAGAGGACACAUUAUAACACCAAUGUACACCAUACGACAAAUAUAUACUCUAAAAUUUGAUGUGAGAGGUUGCGAGAAGUCACUUUUUGGUAUCAGUAUCAGAAUAAAUUCAUCAUACAUGCAUAGAUGCAUAUUAUACAUAAUUACAGAGUCUGCACCAUUUGUUUGGAACACGCCAGUGGUGCAUUGAUGUCUUUUUGACAUAUUUGUAAAACCCCUUUUUAGUUAAGUGCUUUAUUUCGUAGUAAUAUCAUUAAGCUACAUCCUAAAAUGGAUUGAAACAUACGUUACUUUAAAUAUUAAUUACAACAAUACCAAUUAGUAUUGCUCAUAUGACCAAACAACAAACAGAUACGUUACACGAUUUCUUGAUUCCAGGACGCUCAAUUUAAAGCUGUGAAGCUCUGUACUACAUGUUCAUAAUGUCAAGCAAAUGCAUGACUAUAGAUGUAUUCAUAACAGUUUGGCACAAUUUCAGAGGCAUACGUAUUGAAAGGUUUUUGUUGAGGGAUAUUGAAGGGAUUGUGAUAUAUCUGAAAAUUUCUAUUUCAAACAAAACAAAUAAAACGUUCAAGCACCACCAAAAGGUUAAUCAAUAUAAUUAUAUGUAUCAUAAAUUGCUUUGAUAGGUGCUCAUUUCCGUUUGUGUAAUCAGGGUUUUGUCCUUUAAAAAAGGUCGUAAAUACUUAACUGAAUUGUGACAGAAAAAUGCAAUUUGCAUGUGAACAUAAACUUUAUAAAUCCUUUCAAAUGUUUUUAAAAACAUAAAUGUUUGUACAAUGAUCUUUUUUCACUUGACUUUUAAAAGAAAAUGACAAUUUCAUUAUAUGUUCGAUUCUCCAUUUCUCGUUAUUUUACUAGGAUACACUAUAUAUGUAACAUCUGUCAGGCAGCCAUUCUGAUACAAUAUAUAUAAUAUUACAUUGUAGCUACAUUCAAAAGCCAUUGAAUGAAAAUUGAGAGUAACAUGUUUAGUUUUAAAAGAAACAAAAGCAGCCUUUAAAUUAUUGUAAUGUCUUUUACGGUAUGCAUUUUGAAAAUGGCGCCAUCGUAAUUAAAAAAAGAGAAAUAGCUCAUAUUUGUAACGUAGUUUUCAGUUGAAAUUAUUUCUAACAAAAUCAGAUGACUUCUAUUACAGCAGAUUACUUAGAUCUUAUCCAUAUGUAUGUUUGCAAACUUAUUUCUAGCGGCCAGUUUGAAAAUGACAGGACAGUAUCUUUACUGGAUUUAUCUGAAUAACAUAACUUCAAUCUGUUGAAAACUUUUUUGAUUUUUUUUAUUAUACUAAAUAUUUGAACAGUAUUAGCUCAUCAAUAUUUGUACGUGUAACCGAUUUCAGGUGGUCAUUUUGUGAGCGGUAAAAUCCUUUGUACAAUGUUUAAAACAAUAUCAGGUGAUUUCUGUUAUAGCUUUGGCUUUUGAAGAGCUAUACCGCUUUCAUAUACACGUUUGAUCGAAUUUAAGGCAGUUAUUUGAAAAUUUGGGAAAUGGUGGCCAUCUUAAUUUGAAUAGUCUGUGUAACUAAAUAACCUAUUUUGUUGGUAGUUUAACAAACUUAAAUUUUGGGUGAUUUAACUACUACGUACAUAAUGACUACUAAAAAGAUCCAAGCUACCAUAGAAGAGAAUUAAAAUCAUCAAAAUAUGAGAACUUUGGAGGUAUUAGCUCAUAUGUAUAAUAAUUUCGGAUUAAUUUGAAAUAACUUUCAUCUUGAAUAAAAACUUAUAUUGCUGGAUCUGCUUCCCUUUUGAUGUUCCUCAUAGGGAACUUCCUUGAAAAUGUUGCGGUCGUAUCAGCUUUUGCAUUACUUUUAUCAUUUCUACUCCACUAGCAAAGAUUAGGUCUGUCAGUAUGCAAAUCGCCCAACAUGAACCAUAGCCUAGGCUAACUGACAUUACAGUGCAAAGGUAUCUGAUUUUUUAGUUAAAUAUUCAUUCAUUUUGUUUUCUUUAUUGUUAACAUGAGGGUUCUGUUCCAUUUUAAAGGAUUAGAAGUUCUUAAGUUUUCCAACGUAAGUAUACAUGUGUAUGUACUAAUGUGGUGGGUGGGGUACAUCAACCCCUACUUUUUACAUUUUAUUCGGUAUAUAAUAUAUAACGUAGCAUUAUUUGACAACCAAAGUAAAUUAUUGAUUAUUUCAGGCAUUAAAAGAUAAGAUUUAUUAUAAGAAAUGUCACAUAAAUUUCUUUUUCACCAUCCAAAUCAGCGUUAUCCCUAUGCAAUGCUAAAUUCUAUUCAUUAGACACCAACGUUUUUAAAAUCGUCAUUAAAUUUUACUGACAUGUUGCUCAGACCGACAUCCACCCUUAAAUGUUUCCUGAAUGAUAGUAUAACAUCAUGGUAUAGCUCAACCUUUGCCUAAUUUCUGGGUUACGACUUUCAGUUUUUUCGGCCUUGGCCCACGGACCAACAGCUUGAAUCAGCUUCGGAGGAUUCAGAAUUAUCUUGGACUAAAUCAUUCAGACGAACGACUUCAAGCUGUGUUGGGCAAAUGUUCACUUGGAAACCUUAAGGCUGAAGUAGAAAAUGGUAAAGUCAAGACACCUCUUAUUGAUGAAAAGGGGAAGUCAGUUCUCUGUAGGAAAGGAGUUAUUGGAGACUGGAAGAACAAUUUCACUGUUGCCCAAAAUGAGAAGAUAGAGGAACUUAUUGAAGAUAAAUUUAGGAACAGUAUGUUCAGUUAUAAUGUAUAGAAUUGCUAGAGCCGAUUUCUGACGAACAAAAUAUGUUCAAUGACAAGUCAUGGAUCAUAAAUUACUUCAAUUGUGACAUGAAAUGGUAACCCGGAAUCGCAAUCUAGAAUACCAUGAAGACUGAAGUGUUAACGAAGAUGGCGAUGAUUAAACAUUAUUCUCAUGGUGAUGCCGGAUGAAUAUGUCAAUUCAUGAGAAUAUUAUAUGUUUAAAAUCAUUAAUUGACAAAUUUCAAGGAUGAACAUGUCAAUUUAUGAGAUUAUUGUAUUUUUAAAAUCAAGAAUUUUACGUAGGAAUGUGCUAUAUUCUAACCUCGUAUGAAGUUAAUGAUCUCUUACAAAAGUUACGGAUAAAAUGUGCGAUAUACAUAAAAUCGUUCUUAGAC